UGGGGAAUAUUGCACAAUGGGCGAAAGCCUGAUGCAGCAACGCCGCGUGAGUGAUGAAGGUCUUCGGAUUGUAAAGCUCUGUCUUUUGGGACGAUAAUGACGGUACCAAAGGAGGAAGCCACGGCUAACUACGUGCCAGCAGCCGCGGUAAUACGUAGGUGGCGAGCGUUGUCCGGAUUUACUGGGCGUAAAGGGUGCGUAGGCGGAUGUUUAAGUGAGAUGUGAAAUACCCGGGCUUAACUUGGGUGCUGCAUUUCAAACUGGAUAUCUAGAGUGCAGGAGAGGAGAAUGGAAUUCCUAGUGUAGCGGUGAAAUGCGUAGAGAUUAGGAAGAACACCAGUGGCGAAGGCGAUUCUCUGGACUGUAACUGACGCUGAGGCACGAAAGCGUGGGUAGCAAACAGGAUUAGAUACCCUGGUAGUCCACGCCGUAAACGAUGAGUACUAGGUGUAGGAGGUAUCGACCCCUUCUGUGCCGCAGUAAACACAUUAAGUACUC
rnacentral:rRNA from 1 species